GAUGAACGCUAGCUACAGGCUUAACACAUGCAAGUCGAGGGGCAGCAUGGUCUUAGCUUGCUAAGGCCGAUGGCGACCGGCGCACGGGUGAGUAACACGUAUCCAACCUGCCGUCUACUCUUGGACAGCCUUCUGAAAGGAAGAUUAAUACAAGAUGGCAUCAUGAGUUCACAUGUUCACAUGAUUAAAGGUAUUCCGGUAGACGAUGGGGAUGCGUUCCAUUAGAUAGUAGGCGGGGUAACGGCCCACCUAGUCUUCGAUGGAUAGGGGUUCUGAGAGGAAGGUCCCCCACAUUGGAACUGAGACACGGUCCAAACUCCUACGGGAGGCAGCAGUGAGGAAUAUUGGUCAAUGGGCGAGAGCCUGAACCAGCCAAGUAGCGUGAAGGAUGGCUGCCCUAUGGGUUGUAAACUUCUUUUAUAAAGGAAUAAAGUCGGGUAUGUAUACCCGUUUGCAUGUACUUUAUGAAUAAGGAUCGGCUAACUCCGUG
rnacentral:rRNA from 1 species